rnacentral:rRNA from 2 species
UUUAUAUGAGAGUUUGAUCCUGGCUCAGGAUGAACGCUGGCGGUGUGCCUAAUACAUGCAAGUCGAACGCGUUGGCCCAAUUGAUUGAUGGUGCUUGCACCUGAUUGAUUUUGGUCGCCAACGAGUGGCGGACGGGUGAGUAACACGUAGGUAACCUGCCCAGAAGCGGGGGACAACAUUUGGAAACAGAUGCUAAUACCGCAUAACARCGUUGUUCGCAUGAACAACGCUUAAAAGAUGGCUUCUCGCUAUCACUUCUGGAUGGACCUGCGGUGCAUUAGCUUGUUGGUGGGGUAACGGCCUACCAAGGCGAUGAUGCAUAGCCGAGUUGAGAGACUGAUCGGCCACAAUGGGACUGAGACACGGCCCAUACUCCUACGGGAGGCAGCAGUAGGGAAUCUUCCACAAUGGGCGCAAGCCUGAUGGAGCAACACCGCGUGAGUGAAGAAGGGUUUCGGCUCGUAAAGCUCUGUUGUUAAAGAAGAACACGUAUGAGAGUAACUGUUCAUACGUUGACGGUAUUUAACCAGAAAGUCACGGCUAACUACGUGCCAGCAGCCGCGGUAAUACGUAGGUGGCAAGCGUUAUCCGGAUUUAUUGGGCGUAAAGAGAGUGCAGGCGGUUUUCUAAGUCUGAUGUGAAAGCCUUCGGCUUAACCGGAGAAGUGCAUCGGAAACUGGAUAACUUGAGUGCAGAAGAGGGUAGUGGAACUCCAUGUGUAGCGGUGGAAUGCGUAGAUAUAUGGAAGAACACCAGUGGCGAAGGCGGCUACCUGGUCUGCAACUGACGCUGAGACUCGAAAGCAUGGGUAGCGAACAGGAUUAGAUACCCUGGUAGUCCAUGCCGUAAACGAUGAGUGCUAGGUGUUGGAGGGUUUCCGCCCUUCAGUGCCGGAGCUAACGCAUUAAGCACUCCGCCUGGGGAGUACGACCGCAAKGUUGAAACUCAAAGGAAUUGACGGGGGCCCGCACAAGCGGUGGAGCAUGUGGUUUAAUUCGAAGCUACGCGAAGAACCUUACCAGGUCUUGACAUCUUGCGCCAACCCUAGAGAUAGGGCGUUUCCUUCGGGAACGCAAUGACAGGUGGUGCAUGGUCGUCGUCAGCUCGUGUCGUGAGAUGUUGGGUUAAGUCCCGCAACGAGCGCAACCCUUGUUACUAGUUGCCAGCAUUAAGUUGG